AUGUAGUGGACUGACAAAAAUGGCCAUUAGGCGAUUAGACUACAGAUUCGUGAGUAAACAGACUAAUUUUAAAUUUAAAUAAUCUUUGCUUUUAUACACAAAUCUUUGCAGCACUUGAAUUCAUCACAGAAAAAAGUUCGAAAUUAAUUAAAUGUUAACUUGUAGCGUGUAAUCAACGUCAUUAAUCUAAAAUGCAUGUAACGAAUGCAUAAUAUACAAACUCAAAUUAAUGAGAAUUUUACACUGUAGCUACUAAUCUAUGUUAUUAAGAUUUGGAUCCUGCGUGUAAUUUUCAAAAUCUUUUCACAAACUGUCAUACGUGGAAGCGUCGGCCGGUCGUAUAAAGAAUCCCUGGUGUUUAAUUAUACGAACAACGCCUAACUCAAGCUGUUCAUAAUUCAAAUUUACAAUUAAUUUGCGUCUCUGCUCGUCAUAUAAAACACCCACUGUCCAUGCUAGAACACUCAUUUUAACGUUUGUUCGUUUCAGAGUUCAAAGAAUUGCAUUCAAGGAACAAUUUAUAGCGAAUAUAGGGCAAAAAAUGACAAAAGUGAUUUGUGUUUUCCUUCUUGCUUUUCUAAUAACUGUCAUAAACGGAUUAUAUUUAUCCAAAGACACAAACGAAGGUGACGACAAACGUAGUCUUUUCUCAGGAUAUCGUUGUUUAAGAGAUUCUGACUGUCGAUCAGCUUUUGGAAUGUUUGGUACUUGCUCGUUUAGUACGGCAUCCUGGCAUUAUGGAUUCUGCGUCUCUCAUCAUGCUCAAUACGUUUCUCUGAAUGGUGACUACGAUGAAAAUUAAAAAUGCGACUUUAGAAGAUGAAACAUAUAAUAUAUAUUUAAUAUACGAGAAUUCUACAAAAAUAAUAUCAACUGUAGUUCAGUAAAACAGUUAUAUGGCAAAGUUGUAAAAAAUUAUGCAAUAAAAUUAAAAAA